rnacentral:rRNA from 1 species
AUGCACGCUGGCGGCGUGCCUCAUACAUGCAAGUCGCGCGAACAGACGAGGAGCUUGCUCCUCUGACGUUAGCGGCGGACGGGUGAGUAACACGUGGAUAACCUACCUAUAAGACUGGGAUAACUUCGGGAAACCGGAGCUAAUACCGGAUAAUAUAUUGAACCGCAUGGUUCAAUAGUGAAAGACGGUUUUGCUGUCACUUAUAGAUGGAUCCGCGCCGCAUUAGCUAGUUGGUAAGGUAACGGCUUACCAAGGCAACGAUGCGUAGCCGACCUGAGAGGGUGAUCGGCCACACUGGAACUGAGACACGGUCCAGACUCCUACGGGAGGCAGCAGUAGGGAAUCGUCCGCAAUGGGCGAAAGCCUGACGGAGCAACGCCGCGUGAGUGAUGAAGGUCUUCGGAUCGUAAAACUCUGUUAUUAGGGAAGAACAAAUGUGUAAGUAACUAUGCACGUCUUGACGGUACCUAAUCAGAAAGCCACGGCUAACUACGUG